ensembl:lncRNA
GUUGUAGGUUCUAUUUUUAGAUACACAGACAAGGUCACGUGACGGGGGGAGACGUCAUUAAUGUUGUUGUUGGUAGAGGAGCUGCAAAUAUGGAGGAAAGAGAGUUGUGACAGGAAAAAUUAUACAUUUCAUUAGGAAACUGAAACGGUUGAACCUGUCCAGUCAAAGAACGGCGUGUAAACGCGUAGACGGCAGAGGAUCCUGCGGCAAGAAGAACAGUGAUUAUCAGUGUCACAUCUCCAUCGCUUCUGAGGCCUGAGGUCAUGGCUGACACCGAGGACCCACUUUAGGGCCUCCAACCUUCUCACACACACACACACACACACACACACACACACACACACACACACACACACACACACACAGACUCAGGCCAUAAUCACCUUCUCUGGCCUGCUUCACUGCCUCCACACCGAGAGGAGAGUGAGGACAGCAGCCCAAGAGAACCGGCCAUCCAUGAAUUCUCCCAACCACUCAGGGGUUUAUAAUUAGAACGAAUGACGACCAUCCAGACCUUUAUUGCCCCCUCCCC